CUCACGGUAUUGCAAUGAGAACAAUUUAAAACCCUUAGCGAGAAUCAAGUGGAGGACAAGUCUGGUGCCAGCACCCGCGGUAAUUCCAGCUCCACUAGCGUAUAUUAAAGUUGUUGCAGUUAAAAAGCUCGUAGUUGAACCUCUGUCUGGGGCUAGUUUUGGCUUUGGUCAGGCUAGUUCUAGGCAUCCGCCUACAAGACUUAGAGGGCAUUCAGUUGUUCACUAGGAGGAGUAGGCAUUUUACUUUGAAAAAAUUAGAGUGUUUAAGGCAGGCAAUCGCCCGCAUAUAUUAGCAUGGAAUAAUAGAAUAGGACACUUUUCCAUUUCGUUGGUUAUUGGAAUCGUGUAAUGAUUAAUAGGGACAGUUGUGGGCAUUUGUAUUUAAUUGUCAGAGGUGAAAUUCUUGGAUUUAUUAAAGACGAACUAACGCGAAAGCAUUUGCCAAGGAUGUUUCCAUUAAUCAAGAACGAAAGUUAGGGGAUCAAAGACGAUCAGAUACCGUCCUAGUCUUAACUAUAAACUAUUCCGACUCAAUGUUUGACUGGCUUAUAUAACCAGUUGAGCGUUGUAUGAGAAAUCAAAGUCUUUAGGUUCUGGGGGGAGUAUGGUUGCAAAGCUGAAACUUAAAGGAAUUGACGGAAGAGCACAACCAGGAGUGGAUUCUGCGGCUUAAUUUGACUCAACACGGGGAAACUUACCAGGUUAAAACAAUAGUGGGAUUGACAGUUUGAGAGCGCUUUCUUGAUUGGUUGGGUGGUGGUGCAUGGCCGUUCUUAGUUGGUGGAGUGAUUUGUCUGCUUAAUUGCGUUAACGAACGAGACCUUAACCUGCUUACUAGACUGGCGAUCAUCAAUCGUUAGCUCUUCUUAGAGUACUUUGGUUGUUUUAACUCCAAGGAAGUUUGAGGCAAUAACAGGUCUGUGAUGCCCUUAGAUAUCCUGGGCCGCACGCGUCAUACAAUGACUAGUUCAGAAAGUUUUCUCCUGACCCGAAAGGGGAUGGGUAAUCUUGAUAAUACUAGUCGUGUUAGGGAUCGAUCUUUGCAAUUAUAGAUCUUGAACGAGGAAUUCCUAGUAAGUGCGGUUCAUCAGACCGUACUGAUUACGUCCCUGCUCUUUGUACACACCGCCCGUCGCUUCUACCGAGUGGGUGGUCCGGUGAGAUAAUUGAACUUCGCAGGUAACUGAGAGGAAAGAUUAUCAAACCUAUCCACCU
rnacentral:rRNA from 1 species